rnacentral:rRNA from 1 species
UCCCCGCGUAAUUUAGGCAUAUUAUUAAGCGGAGGAAAAGAAACUAACUAGGAUUCCCUUAGUAGCGGCGAGCGAACAGGGAAGAGCCCAGCACCGAAUCCCGCGGUCGGAAACGAUCGCCGGGAAAUGUGGUGUUUGGAAGGGUCCGUUAUCCCGAGAACACGCGACGCGUCCAAGUCCAUCUUGAACGGGGCCACUACCCAUAGAGGGUGCCAGGCCCGUAGCGACCGUCGCCGUUUUCGGGAGGAUCUCUUCCGAGAGUCGGGUUGCUUGAGAGUGCAGCCCUAAGUGGGUGGUAAACUCCAUCUAAGGCUAAAUAUAACCACGAGACCGAUAGCGAACAAGUACCGUGAGGGAAAGUUGAAAAGAACUUUGAAGAGAGAGUUCAAUAGUACGUGAAACCGUUCAGGGGUAAACCUGAGAAACCCGAAAGGUCGAAAGGGGAGAUUCAUUCGCGUUUCGACGCACGGCGCUCGACGGUAGCGCGUUCGGCGUUCGCGUCGUUCGCUCCUUCCGUUGAGCGAUCCGUAGUCGAAAGCGUGCACUUCUCCCCUAGUAGGACGUCGCGAUCCGUUGGGUGUCGGUCUAAGGCCCGCGGUGGAGCCCGUGAGCGCGGUUCGCCGUCGUUCGCGGACCCGCGGUGUUUCCCGACCGACUCGCCCGACGGUCUAAAUGAGGCGCGGGGCCGCGACUCAGUUCGCGUUCGACACGUAGCAAGCUCGUUCGUCGAAUCGAAGAUCGGACCUAGCGCCGAUCCCGAUCGCUGACGGCUGUGGUUGCGUUGUUCUCGAACAGACCCCGUCGAAACGCCGAUCUGCGACGCUAUAGCUUUGGGUACUUUCAGGACCCGUCUUGAAACACGGACCAAGGAGUCUAGCAUGUACGCGAGUCAUUGGGACAUAACUAAACCUAAAGGCGUAAUGAAAGUGAAGGUCGGCCUAGCGCCGACCGAGGGAAGACGAGCGAUCGAAUUUCGGUCGCUCCGCACUCCCGGGGCGUCUCGUUCUCAUCGCGAGAAGAGGCGCACCAAGAGCGUACACGCUGGGACCCGAAAGAUGGUGAACUAUGCCUGGUCAGGACGAAGUCAGGGGAAACCCUGAUGGAGGUCCGUAGCGAUUCUGACGUGCAAAUCGAUCGUCGGAACUGGGUAUAGGGGCGAAAGACUAAUCGAACCAUCUAGUAGCUGGUUCCCUCCGAAGUUUCCCUCAGGAUAGCUGGCGCUCGUUGCGUACGAGUCUCAUCCGGUAAAGCGAAUGAUUAGAGGCAUUGGGGUCGAAACGACCUCAACCUAUUCUCAAACUUUAAAUGGGUGAGAUCUCCGGCUUGCUCGAACUUGAAGCCGCGAGAAUAUCGGAUCAGAGUGCCAAGUGGGCCAUUUUUGGUAAGCAGAACUGGCGCUGUGGGAUGAACCAAACGCCGAGUUAAAGCGCCUAAAUCGACGCUUAUGGGAUACCAUGAAAGGCGUUGGUAACUUAAGACAGCAGGACGGUGGCCAUGGAAGUCGGAAUCCGCCAAGGAGUGUGUAACAACUCACCUGCCGAAGUUACUAGCCCUGAAAAUGGAUGGCGCUGAAGCGUCGUGCUUAUACUCGGCCGUCAGCGGCAUGUGCGAUCGCCUCGUGCGGUCAUGAAGCCCUGACGAGUAGGAGGGUCGCGGCGGUGCGCGCAGAAGGGCUGGCCGUGAGGCCGUCUGGAGCCGCCGUCGGUGCAGAUCUUGGUGGUAGUAGCAAAUACUCCAGCGAGGACCUGGAGGACUGACGUGGAGAAGGGUUUCGUGUGAACAGCCGUUGCACACGAGUCAGUCGAUCCUAAGCCCUAGGCGAAAGCCGAUGUUGAUGCGGUGUCUGUUCAUCGUCGUUGUUUGUUUGUUCGAACGUCAAAACGAGACGCACCCAUCGGGCGAAAGGGAAUCCGGUUCCUAUUCCGGAACCCGGCAGCGGAACCGUCUUAAAAUCGGGCCCUCACAAGAGAGUUCGUCGGGGCAACCCAACAUGACCCGGAGACGCCGUCGGGAGAUCCGGGAAGAGUUUUCUUUUCUGCAUGAGCGUUCGAGUUCCAUGGAAUCCUCUAGCAGGGAGAUAUGGUUUGGAACGCGAAGAGCACCGCAGUUGCGGCGGUGUCCGGAUCUUCCCCUCGGACCUUGAAAAUCCGGGAGAGGGCCACGUGGAGUCGUCGCGCCGGCUCGUACCCAUAUCCGCAGCAGGUCUCCAAGGUAAAGAGCCUCUAGUCGAUAGAAUAAUGUAGU